rnacentral:misc_RNA from 1 species
AAGACGUUGAAUAUAGGGGAUUUGGUAUGCCUAAGUGUAGUCCAAAUAUCAAUCACUUGUCAUAUGCCGACAAUACUAUUUUGUUUUGUUCGGGAGAGAAAAAAUUGAUCAAGAAGAUGAUGGGUGUAUUGGCCAAAUAUGAACAGAUUUCUGGACAAAUGAUAAACAAGAGCAAGUGUUUUUUCUAUCUACACGAAAAAAUUUCAGCGGUGCAAGGACAUAAAAUCAGAAAAUGGA